GCUAGGUCUCUGUACAGUCAGUAACCCUGUAGUUAUCUAGCUAGGUCUCUGUACAUUCACCAGCCCUGUAGUUAUCUAGCUAGGUCUCUGUACAGUCAGUAACCCUGUAGUUAUCUAGCUAGGUCUCUGUACAGUCAGUAACCCUGUAGUUAUCUAGCUAGGUCUCUGUACAGUCAGUAACCCUGUAGUUAUCCAGCUAGGUCUCUGUACAGUCAGUAACCCUGUAGUUAUCUAGCUAGGUCUCUGUACAGUCAGUAACCCUGUAGUUAUCUAGCUAGGUCUCUGUACAGUCAGUAACCCUGUAGUUAUCUAGCUAGGUCUCUGUACAGUCAGUAACCCUGUAGUUAUCUAGCUAGGUCUCUGUACAGUCAGUAACCCUGUAGUUAUCUAGCUAGGUCUCUGUACAGUCAGUAACCCUGUAGUUAUCUAGCUAGGUCUCUGUACAGUCAGUAACCCUGUAGUUAUCUAGCUAGGUAUCUGUACAGUCAGUAACCC